rnacentral:rRNA from 1 species
AUUGAACGCUGGCGGCAGGCCUAACACAUGCAAGUCGAGCGGAUGAAGGGAGCUUGCUCCUGGAUUCAGCGGCGGACGGGUGAGUAAUGCCUAGGAAUCUGCCUGGUAGUGGGGGAUAACGUCCGGAAACGGGCGCUAAUACCGCAUACGUCCUGAGGGAGAAAGUGGGGGAGCUUCGGACCUCACGCUAUCAGAUGAGCCUAGGUCGGAUUAGCUAGUUGGUGGGGUAAAGGCCUACCAAGGCGACGAUCCGUAACUGGUCUGAGAGGAUGAUCAGUCACACUGGAACUGAGACACGGUCCAUACUCCUACGGGAGGCAGCAGUGGGGAAUAUUGGACAAUGGGCGAAAGCCUGAUCCAGCCAUGCCGCGUGCGUGAAGAAGGUCUUCGGAUUGUAAAGCACUUUAAGUUGGGAGGAAGGGCAGUAAGUUAAUACCUUGCUGUUUUGACGUUACCAACAGAAUAAGCACCGGCUAACUUCGUG